rnacentral:misc_RNA from 1 species
GAUGAAGAACGUAGCGAAAUGCGAUACGUAAUGUGAAUUGCAGAAUUCAGUGAAUCAUCGAGUCUUUGAACGCACAUUGCGCCCCCUGGUAUUCCGGGGGGCAUGCCUGUCCGAGCGUCAUUGCUGCCCUCAAGCACGGCUUGUGUGUUGGGCCCCCGCCCCCCGGCUCCCGGGGGGCGGGCCCGAAAGGCAGCGGCGGCACCGCGUCCGGUCCUCGAGCGUAUGGGGCUUCGUCACCCGCUCCGUAGGCCCGGCCGGCGCCCGCCGGCGACCCCCCUCAAUCUUUCCAGGUUGACCUCGGAUCAGGUAGGGAUACCCGCUGAACUUAAGCAUAUCAAUAAGCGGAGGA